GCGGAUGUAGUUUAAUGGUAAAAUCUCUGCCUUCCAAGCAGAUGUUUCGAGUUCGAUUCUCGAUAUCCGCUCCA
rnacentral:tRNA from 2 species